rnacentral:rRNA from 1 species
GGGCCCGCACAAGCGGCGGAGCAUGCGGAUUAAUUCGAUGCAACGCGAAGAACCUUACCUGGGUUUGACAUACACCGGAAAGCUGCAGAGAUGUAGCCCCUUUUUGUCGGUGUACAGGUGGUGCAUGGCUGUCGUCAGCUCGUGUCGUGAGAUGUUGGGUUAAGUCCCGCAACGAGCGCAACCCUCGUCCUAUGUUGCCAGCACGUGAUGGUGGGGACUCAUAGGAGACUGCCGGGGUCAACUCGGAGGAAGGUGGGGAUGACGUCAAGUCAUCAUGCCCCUUAUGUCCAGGGCUUCACGCAUGCUACAAUGGCCGGUACAAAGGGCUGCGAUCCCGUGAGGGGGAGCGAAUCCCAAAAAGCCGGUCUCAGUUCGGAUUGGGGUCUGCAACUCGACCCCAUGAAGUCGGAGUCGCUAGUAAUCGCAGAU